CACCCUCUUGGGCCUGGUCGAGCUUCAUCUUCGUCCCUUGGGCCUGGCCCAUAUUCGUUCUCCACUUCCUUCCGAGCGAGGAGGCUGAGGCAGCCAUUCCAUCCAAAAACCGAGCGAUUCACCAUGCUCCCGACCUAGGGUACCGUCACCCCGCCGCCGCUCCCUCCUGCCAUGGCGCGCCGCCUCCCUCCGGUCCCAAGCCGCUGUUCCGCCGCCUCGGUCCAACCAUUGUGGCCUCUCGUGCAGCCGUGCAGGGGGUGGCCGGCAUCCUGCGGCGGCACCCGCUGCCCACGCUGUUCGCGUGCGGGCUGCUGCUCUUCAUGGGCGUCGAGUACACCAUCCCCAAUUCCCCAUGGUCCCGGCCGCCGCGCCACCGCUGAACCUCAGGUUCGUCGCCACCACCGCGAUGCACGCCGGCAUCGCCGCCCAGCCGCCGCGCUAGGUCUUCAGCUCUCCUAGCCUCCCACCGCCGACGACCCGCUCGAGUUUCGUCCUCCACGCCGGCUAGACGAGGCCAACCUGAACGUCCCCUACGCCGUCCAACACGGGACCCGCUCGAGUCCCGCGAUGGCCUGCACGGGACGGUCGCGCCACCCUCCACGCCAGCACGGGGUCGCCCUCCACGCCCGGAAUCGACGCCGACCUGCACAAGCCGCCCUCCACGCCGGGAAUCGAGGACGACCUGAAAGUCCGUUCUGCACGUCCCUUGCCCCGGCCGGACGGACACAACUUCAAUGCAGUUCGACCACGGGGAGUUGUACUUCCUUCUGGUUCACAUUUGAAGUUUUGAACACAAACCUUUCAUCAAUCAGGGGUUCUGCAUUGUACAAUAUUUGGUUUUCUUCAGAUACAGGUGCCGCACUUCUUGCAUAAAUAUCACGGGACCAUACUAUCACUCUCAAGCAAACAUAGAAGAUCAGCUCACUCUGGAGUUUUAGCUGCAUAUUACUGAAGUUAUCUGUCAUGCUUCAAGUGAACUUGUUCUUUAUGCACCGGUGACUGAUACGGCAGGAGCAGUGAUUUUUACGAAAAUCAUUUCUGAUCUAUAUCUUUGUCGGUAAAGUGGUCAAAAUGUUCUGGCCAAUGCUUUAGGAUUUUGGACUGAAACUGCUCCAAUGGCGGUCUCCAUCGGCGAUGAUGACCCUUAUUCUCGCACUGCAUGAUGAAUGGAUAUUAAAACCUGUGGCCUUAAUUUGGUGUUGGUAUCGAACUGGCAUGAACAAAAUAAAAGAACCAUGAUUUGAGGAGGCUUUCGGGUGAUGAAUUCCAGUACCAGGUACAUCGGCAAUUCUGCAUCAUAUAUCUGAAUAGGUGGAGUACUUUAAAACCCAAUAGCAUGUACUCUUUAAAGAUUUAACAUCGCUUGCCGCCACCGCCUCCGGGCUAGGAAAUUCUCAAUACUAAUUGUGAGUUCACCGAUGCAAUUAGCACUGGAGAUUGGGGUACUGUCGUCCGAGACAAUGUGCCCGGGACAGGUGUGGUUGCCUUAUUUGGUAUGCAAGUAAUUUUUAUGACAACAAGCUGAAUCACAUGGGUAUGCUUCUGAUUUCUUCCACAUAGUGGUUGCAAAGAGUACAAAGGUAUGCUUCUAAUUUCUUACACAUAGAAUUGCUAUACCACCGUCCUUCAGAAGCAGCCCCGUCACAAAUUUUGCAACUGAUUCAUAAGUUAUGACAUCAAGAAACCCGAUAAAGGUGAUGCCAUGUUUACCACAAUACUUUACAAACCACUCAUUUUUCAACAGCUUCAAGCUUUAUUAUUCACAGACUUAUCUCUGAGACCCAUGUGAAGGAGAGUUGUCCUCAGCUUGAUGCUAAACCAACAGAAAACCAUCAGUUCACUCACAUGGUAUAGGUUAUGCAUUUAAUAUAUAUACAUUGGUCAAUUGGCUUAUCAGCUUAAAAUGGAAAAAAACUCACCAAAGACUUUGUAGGGGAAUUUUGUUCAGUAUACUGAAGACUGGCAUUUUGUAAGACCGGCAAUUUUAUACACUUGGUCACUUGUAAUAAUAGUAUUUACAAAAGUACAGUGACAUGCCAUAGAUGAUAUUAGUCACAUAUCGUGAUAUUUUUUUCCUAAGCAUGCAUAUGCAUUUCUUUUACACCCCUCAAAAUAGGCUUAUGUGUGUUGUACAAACCAAUGGCCGGCCCUCUCGCUUGCUACUUGGUGGCUCAACAUGACGGAUGGACCUACCCCGAACCACAAAGCCAUGGCGACCAUCAGGUUGUCAACCUCUUGGGAGAUUUGGAAUGAGAGAAACAACCAUGCACGUCCGAUGGUUAUUCUUGACAAAAUCAAAAUCGAGGCUUGUCUUUGGGUCACUGCGGGUGCCAAGCGUUUAGGUGAAAUAAUUCCGGGAGAGUAAUCCCGAUUGUAAUUUUUUUGGGGCAACCGAGUGAGCCUUUUAUUGGUCACGGCUCGGUAUGCGUUGUAAAAACUCCUAUCUUAAUUAAUUGAUUGGGGCAAAACUUUUGCCCCCGUUUCAAAAAAAAGGCUUAUGAUAAAUUUCUUUUGCACCCCUCAAAAUAGGUUUAUGCCAUACAUGAUAGUUAUUUGCGAUCAACUCUCCUGGGAGGUGGUGCUUUGAGCGCAGCUCACUCGGGACUCUCCGGCGGACAAUGAGGAGCCGUCGAGUGGUUCCCACGAGCGACCUUUUACCCACAUGGCCAAAGACAACGGUGAUGGGAGUGGUAAAUCCAUGUCACCGCGGACUCUUCAAGGGAAAUGCCUCAUACGUAUAAACUAUUGUUUUGCUGGAGUUUCUACUUGCAAAUGCAUUUAAAAACUUUUAAUACUUCAUCCGUUCUACGUGUCUGAGAUUUGUCAAAAUUUAAAUGUAUAUGCAUAUAGAUAAUGUCUAGAUACAUAUAUAUUUUGAUAAAUCUCAGAUAACUUUUAUGAGAUGGUGGGAGUAUAUCUGUGUUUCACAAAAUGGUUAGCAACAUGCGGCAUAUACCCUAGGAGAUCUUACUUUGUGCAUCUCCAGAAUGCCGAUAUGUUAUGGGCGUCUCAUGCUAAAAUUGGGACAUUGGUCAUGGAUGCGCGAGAGAAGGGUACCACUACCUGCGACCAUGGAGGCAUUGUUCCUCGCGGGAGCAUAGGCGUCACCGAGUUAUGUGAGGUAAUCAAAUAAAUGACUAUUCAAUAAAAAAUCAUUCCGUGGCAAUGAAGGUGGUAAUCGAAUAAAUGACUAUUCAAUAAAAACUCAUUUCGAAUAAAUGAUUAUUCAAAAAUUGGACAUUUUGUCUGUUUAGUUUUAUAUGUCAUUGUUUAUGUUCGUCUAUCCUAUACAUCAUGAAAAAAGAAUAUGCUUGGUAACAAAGGUGGUACUAAUUCUUUGAUUGGAUUUCUAUGCUAUCGUCCUACGCUUCAUUUCGUAUCGACCGAUUGGAGCAAAUUUUGUUAGACGUGAUUACACUCAUCGUGAAUAGGAGAGAACAUAACCACCAUCAACCAUGGUAACAAAUACGAGAAGUGUUAACAAAGAUGGUUUGCUAAAGCAUUUGACCAUUCGUUUUUCCCGAUGCAACGCACGGGCAUUUUUACUAUCUAGAUUAGAAGGAUAACAAUCUUUGUAAUACAACAAUCUAACAACACAAGAACGGCGAGCCGGAAACAUAUAAUGGAUACGUAGUUUCUUCCUAAAACCAAAUGUUGGAAUUUACAAAUAUAACCCUAUGGCUGCUUCAUAAAAAGUUAGCUUGAAAGGCAAAAAAAUAAUAUUUUCUUUUGGAAAUAAUAAAACUAAAUAAUAUCUCAUUAAAUCUAACCUAAUUUGGUAACAAUCCCAGUGGACACAGAUCAAUAAUGGGUGAGGCGCGUCCAAGCGUGCGCGACACACCGCACAUCCACACCCUUAUAUUAUCCGGUCCCCCCCACCCCCUCCACUCGUCAAACGCGAUAGAUCAAGAGUAGAGAGGGAGAGAGACGACGGAGUGGCGGUGAAGGCGACGUCAAGCCUAGACCUUAUUGGAGGCGGUGUCGACGUUGCAGGUCGCGGGCGGAUGCGAGGAAGCCCUCAUAUAUGAUUUCGAGAUCUGGCUAGCUCAUCUGAAGGUGUAUAUGUCACAGGCGUUUGGAUUUUCGGCCGUCCGAUCGAGCUGACGUGGCGCGAUCUCGGCCGGCCGUUCCGUCCAGGGCGCCAGGCCCUCGCACGGACCCGCGUUUUAUCCAUGGGUCGAUGAAGCCCGCCCGGCCCGGCGUCUCGCAGCUCCCCAUUGCCCGUCUCCUCCACCCCUUCCUCCUCCUCUGUGUCACCGCCGCCACCCGGCCUCCUCCUCUGCGCGGGAUCCGCCUCCACCUCGCCUCCUCCCGUGCUCCUCCUCGCCUUGCUCGUGCUCUCCUCUUCCCGCCGCCCCUCCCUCCUCUGGAACUGGAGAAGAAACCGGCCGCGGCCCCAAGGCGUCGUGAAGGACCAUGGCCUCCGCUCGACGGGAGGUCUUCGGGCGCUGAGAGGAGCACAUGAGGGGCCGUCGGGAGAGGGCGUACCUCAGGGAGAUGACGACGGCAACCACCCGUCGCUCCACCCUGCUCCUCCUAUACUCCCUCUCCCUCCUUUUCUACAAUUCCUUGAGAUUGAGGCCUCCACAUCACAACAGGUUGGGGGAGAGCAGCCUGCGUCUACCACAAACUCCUGGGAUCCCAUCAUCUGCAAAGAUUUAUUUGCCUCAUCUAAUACAUAGACAUAUAUACAUGGACUCCUCUUGUUAUAUCCAGAUAGCAAAUUGUAUCCUCACCCUUUCACCGAAAUAUGCAAUCUUCUUCCCUGGUUUAUUGGCGUAACAUGAUUAUGGCACACAGGGUUAAUCUAUACUUCUGUUUUAAAGUUACAGGCUUACCUCUCUGAAAUAACUUCCUUCAUAUUAAUUUGCACCUGCAAUGGAUGGCAUGAAUUUUGCUUUCAUCGUCGAGCCGAAGAGAGCCGCUGCCGCAAGCUUGAUUGGAGACCAUCAGGAGAAGCAAAUGGAGCAGGCAGUGACCUUUCGACGGCGAAAAAAUACGGGUUGGAUGCCACAAGAUUUGUUGCUGUUUGUGGUUACAAAUGUCAAUUUGGUCAUGUUUCUUGACUUUUGAUUUUUUACAGUUUGUUGUGUCACCCCGUCUAAAGAUGCCCGUCACUGCCGUCCACCUCAUGUGAGGUGGACAAGCACUUUGUCCACGUUUUUCUAUUUCUCCCCAAUGAAGCAUAAGAACUGUCAUAUAUAGUUGUUCUCAUAAGCUCUAAAAAAGGCAAUGAGCAACAAAAAUACAUAUUCUGAUUCCAAAUUUAGCUUAGUAAUAUAGCUGGUUGCAAGAUAAUAUAUAUGGUGUUUUUCAAUAAUUCAAGUGCAAACCUUUUAUGUGCUAGGAAUUAUAGUAGCUAGCAAUAAGCCAGAUGUCCUUGCAAUCUUACCUUAUUUGUAUUUCAUAUCAGAUGCAACCAUCAGGUUUAUCUUGGCUCUACUAUGCUUAAUUAAGUGGCUUAGGUUCUCAUGAUUAUUGGGCCUUCUACGGGAUCAUGUUGCCAUUUCAUUGAGGUACCCGGCCGCCCGUAUCAACUUUUCAACCGCGGGGUUGCCGUGGCAGAAAAAAUCCCCACCGGAUCUUUCUCGGAAUUCCUACCGAUGAAAGAUUAUGGUUUAAGAUUCGCCAGGAUCUGCGAGUUUAGGAGCCCAGAUAAAAGAACUCUCUACUCGCUUGACUUCGUUGUUGUUGAUCAACAGAUCCAGGCUUUUUUUUGUACAUGAAUAGAUUCUCCUUUGUAUGCUACAGGGACCUGGCAUCGUGAAGAUUACCUGCUGACGGUAACGCUGCAGGGGUGGGAGAAGAGGAUGAACCAGUUGAACCCGCCCUCAAGCGUGGUGUGCACCCUGUCGGCAGAGUUUGGCAACCAGCCGUGCCAAGCCGGCUGCAUCAGGUUUAGGUGGAUACUGAAAACCUUGUUGUGCUGCAGUCUACUGAAUAUUCUGGUAGUGUGUGAAGUUGACGUGGUUUUAUCCUUCCUCAGCGGGUUUUUCUCCGUUUCAGGUGACAUCUACAUUCCUCUUACAAAGAUCAGGGAAAAUAUUCUCCUGUUUGCCAGCACUUAGCGUAGAAUUAUUCAUCGGAAUUACUUCAACGACCUAUUAUACUAGGCUGCAGAGAUGAGUUUGUACAAUAUGAGACACUCGUGGCAAAAUGUGGCAACCUUGUGCAAACCUCUUAGCACUAAAUAUGGCCAAGAUGCAUCAUCAUUUAGGCUUAAUUUCAUAUUUAUUGUCACCUUCUUUAGUAUAAUUUUGUUGUUCUGGUUGGUUCACACCGAUAUGCUCUAUUAUUUGUUCAGCAACCGAGAUGAUUGAAUGUGUCAGCUCAUGGCCGAUAUAUCCUAGCAAUUAAGGGGGGUGCCUCUACAUUUUUUUGAUCUUAGACCAUUCCAUCCAUGCCCAGUCAUCUAAACUGAGGUUGCACACAUACAUUUUAUUUAUCCUAAAAAACUGAUAAUUCGAGAACUUCUAGCUUGCACGUGUAGUGUUCAUUUCUGAAGAACUUAAAUCAGGAUUUAGUGUCUCACUUCUAAGCUAAAUGAUAGAAAGUGUUGCCGGUUAUAUAAUUGUUUAAAGUAAACUUAGGUAGACAAUGAUAUACUUUAGCUUUAACUUAUCCAUGGAAGGGUAAUAGUUUUUUUUCAUGAGCUUGCAACAUCUGCAAUCAAAACUUUUGAACCUUCCAUUUUGAGCUCGUGAACUAAGAACGCGUCAUGUUUGGAGUGCAUGCUCCUCGUCUUUUUUAUCAUCUACAUUUUUUAUCAAUUUUCUUUUGGUUUUGGUGCUUACUAAAUAGAGAGGGAUGUGGGUAAUGGGGUCAGCGAUGUUAGAGUUGGGCCAGUCACCAUCGUUUCCCAAGACACCACUAGCUGCUCCAUCCCUUGGUCGACCUUGCCACCUCAAUAUCCUGCCCGGCCACGAGGAGUUCGUGCCGGAAGAUUUUCGCUAUGCCUUAGCCUUGCUCAACUAUACGGAUGUCACGCGGCCACUACUUUUUCGGUACGCCACUUCCCUGCUCUCUGUUUGAUGUAGCUAUUGUUCAAGUGAUGGAUGUAUGCUUCUCUAAAGGAGUGUAUACGGUGUACAUAUUUGGAGUAUUCUUACACUUUUCAUAGUCAACUUCUUUAGCAACAACUGUUCCUAUGCAUCUAGCUGACAUUCUUAAUCAGAUAAAAUUGGUUUCUGUUGAAAUUAAUAUAAAUCUUUCAUCUAAAUGUCGACGAGCGGGUCAAAUCAGGACUUUAUUAUUAUGGUUUUCUCGGUUAACAUUUAUCCGAAUAGCUUGUGUUAGGAAAGAUAGUUAUAUAGAUGAAGGCAAAUGUACUAAUAUGUGCCAAACCUAAUAUCUACAACAUGUUGCUUCUAUCCUUAUUAAAAAUAGUUAUCCCGAUGUCAAAGUUGGAACGGCUUUUGGUUGAUAUGGCUGUUCUGUUCUUUCCUUUUUCUUUCCUGGUGGUCGUCUUGAUGGAGAUUGAUGCCCGGGGGAUUGCUGGUGAGAUUGAUUAUCAAAUAGAUAUAAAUUGUAAAGUAUGUCUUUACAGCAUGGAUCUCUGUCAUAUUAGUGGAAUCCCCUUUACUUCUUGUCCUUUGCAACAUUCACAUCUAUUUUGAUGGCUUCUUUUCCUGUAUGCACAUAAUAAUGGUAAUUGUUCUCAUUUUCCGGACUUGAUUGGCCCGGCAUCAUGCUGUCACAAGUCCUAGGAUAAGAUUGUUUCACGGAGUAGUUAUGUACCACUGGCCUUAAGUUCACCAUGUUCCCCCCACACUGGAUUAUUUCAAGGUCAAAUAACUUCAGUUGUAGCUUUCUGAAUUUGAUGGAACAAUUAUUUAGCCUUUGCAUGAAAAGAAAUACUAUGGUAUGGAUUGGUUUGAUGUUCAUGUAGUAGUCAUUGUUUUUUCUUUGGACUUCACACUGGCCGUUAUGCUUAUAAUGUUUAUAGUCAUUUCCUUAGCAGCCUAAAUGGAUGCUAUAUAUUUAAAAUGGUGAUUCUUGCUGCUUGCCGAUACUUAAAUGAUAUACUGUCGAUUGGUGCAUAUCUCUUUACGGCCUAUUUUUAUAUACCAUUAUCAUUUCAUGGAUUAUGUAUGAAAGAUUUAGAUGUCAUUUAUGUUUAGGAGUCAAGCUGUAGCAGUCGGCAACCUAGCAGCCUCCAUCUGCGAGCUGCAAGGCGUCGAACUGCUCCGCCUCCAAAGGACCAAGGUGAGUGGCGAUGUAUAAAUUGGUGGAGUAAGGUUUUGUCAAGGAGGUUGUUCUGUUUUGAUUAGUACAAUGGUACGUACAACAAUGAUGGUACAUUCUACAAGUGCAGUGUCCCCAACAGAUAAGACUUUGGACUGGCAACCUGCAGUACCGCUUAUCCUUCACACAUUUACUUGUUUUUCCCUAUGUUGUACUACUAAAUUAUGAUGUGUCUUCUCUAUGUUUUUAUAGAUAUCAUACUAUUGCUUGACAUAGCUAUGUACAUACUUUGUUUGUAAUUAAGGUUGCUUUAUCUAAA